UUUUAUGGGCUAGGUGUGAGCCACCACACCCCGCCCUGUUUCUCUAUUUUAAUGAAAUAUAGACACUUGUUAUCCUAAAAUUUUCCUUUUUUUUUUGCCAUGAUCUUCAUGAACACACUAAAGUGUUCUAUGCAGCAUAUUUUUAGGAGCAGAUUCGGUUCAGAUAAUCUCUUAUGUCUGUGCUGCCAACUUGAGGCUGCCUGAGAGUUUGUUGGGAGCUCCAAACUCCCCAGUCACCACAGAAGCCCCCUUCUUACCCAGCAGGCCCACACUCGGGAUCUGAACUCUCUGAUAGAUGGGCCAUGCUGGAGAGACAGCAGCAGCCUAAAAGGGGUUCACAGCCCUCCAAGAAAAAGGGAGAAAAGAUGCUGCAUUUGACUGCAACACUAAAGAGCCCUUUCAUUGCUCAUGAAAAGAGUUUGGAGAAUAUUGGCCAGGAUCCCAGAGCUAGGGGAUCCAGGGCUAUGGGCAAGUUAUUAAGUGCCCUGGAAAGGCCCCAUUGGGCAAUUUAGGGAAUUUCUGGGCUGGUACUGGAAGCCAUUGAUGGAAGAGAUUGAAUGGCCACCUGCCCCUCUACUGGGGCCUGAGGAGGGGUCAGUGCCCCGGCCUGCACAGGGGCUGUAGACUGCUGCUGUUGGGGCCAAUACCAGGCCAGGGAAAAGGAAAGAAAGAGAAAAAUGAAGAAUGAGAGAGCUAUUUUCAACUUUAAGGAUACCAAAUGGGGUUUUAAACAUUAUGGACAAAUGACGCAGGGUAGGGAGCUUUAUUUGCUCAAGGAGUCAGGAAUCCUAGCCUCUCUUACCCAGAAUCAUUUUUCAGAAUUCACCACUGGCUUUUUGAGUCAGGUCUGGAAACUUAAGCUUCUCCUUGGCAUGAAAUCGGAAGACAUGCACAGUGGAUUUUCCCAUUCUGUGAGAUGAGCUGGACAGAGGCUCCAGGAAGUGAGAUCUGGGGCAUUCCACCUCUGCUGUGUCUCCUUGGAGACUACAAUAUCGUUCAUUCUGAGGUUCCAUUCUUACAUGUAGUGGUUCCUGGUCUGCCCAUUUGGAAAAGGGGACUAGGAAUACCUGUCCUACCCACGUCAUGAGGGUGUUAUGGGGAUCCAUACACUCUGAAAGCAAAUAAACGUGGAAAAGAGGCAAAGUUAAUGUCCCCUGGAGAAAUGGACGGAUGAUUGGAUGGAUGGACAGACGGACAGGUGGAUAACCUCAUGAGCCAACAGCUGCCAGGUUUUCAGAGCAGGCCUGGGUCAGCCACGCAGGCAUCCAUCUGGGUCUCCUCUGGAGAAUCACUGCCUUCCUGUGGCCAGGAUGAGGAGGGGAAGAAGAGUCUGAGGCCCCGGCACUUACCAUGGUCUUUCCAUUGCUGAGCUCCACCUAAUGGAGAAACAAGGACACCUGUCACCCCAGACUGGGGAAAAGAUGGGAAGAAGCCAGUAGAGAAGGAAGAUGUUGAAAACACAGGAGGGAAAGAGGAGUUUUAUCUGCAGAUAUCAGCGGCCUGGACGUGAGUGAGGUGUACAUGUCACAUUUGGAGCCAUGGCAACCAUCCUGUGACCUGGAGGACAGAAGUCUAAAGAUGAAUACUUGGAUCGGUGUCCAGGCUGCCCGGUCGUGCUUAGUAAUCGGAAACAGAGACGGCGGAAAUCUCAAAUUCUGGUUUCCUGCCGGGGAGCCAGCUCGAAGUCUGCGGGAGGGGAAAGGACGUUGUGACACAGCGCCACCCUGUGGCAGAAAGAAGAGCCGCUCUUGGCCUGUUGUCUGCAUUGGAUCUCAAGGCUUGGGGCUGGCAGAAACCUGAAACCUCACAGAACCCCAAAAUAACAAAACUGUCAUUUAAAGAGCACUUACUGUGUGUUAGAGAGGCACUGUGAUAAUUGUUUUAUAUUGUUAUGGCCUCAGAGUUUCCCAUGAGAUGGAUACUAUUUUCCGAAUAAGGAAACUGGGGCCCAGAAGGGUUAAGACAUUUGCCUAAGGUUGCACAGCUAAGAGAUAGCCGGGCUACACAUCCACAGAGUGUGGCCACAGAGGCCACAUUUUUUUUUUUUUUUUUUUGAG